GACGAACGCUGGCGGCGUGCCUAAUACAUGCAAGUAGAACGCUGAGGACUGGUGCUUGCACUGGUCUAAGGAGUUGCGAACGGGUGAGUAACGCGUAGGUAACCUACCUCAUAGCGGGGGAUAACCCGGAGAAAUCCGGACUAAUACCGCAUACACUUAGUUAUCCGCAUGGAUGAUUAAGGAAAGAUUUAUUGCUAAGAGAUAGGCAUGCGUUCCAUUAGUUAGUUGGUGAGGUAACGGCUCACCAAGGCAUCGAUGGAUAGGGGAGCUGAGAGGUUUAUCCCCCACAUUGGUACUGAGACACGGACCAA
rnacentral:rRNA from 1 species